rnacentral:rRNA from 1 species
UGGGGAAUAUUGCGCAAUGGGCGAAAGCCUGACGCAGCAACACCGCGUGAGGGAUGACGGCCUUCGGGUUGUAAACCUCUUUCAGCUCCGACGAAGCGAAAGUGACGGUAGGAGCAGAAGAAGCACCGGCUAACUACGUGCCAGCAGCCGCGGUAAUACGUAGGGUGCAAGCGUUGUCCGGAAUUAUUGGGCGUAAAGAGCUCGUAGGCGGUCCGUUGCGUCUGCCGUGAAAACCCGGAGCUCAACUCCGGGCCUGCGGUGGAUACGGGCGGACUAGAGUCCGGUAGGGGAGACUGGAAUUCCUGGUGUAGCGGUGGAAUGCGCAGAUAUCAGGAGGAACACCGGUGGCGAAGGCGGGUCUCUGGGCCGGAACUGACGCUGAGGAGCGAAAGCGUGGGGAGCGAACAGGAUUAGAUACCCUGGGUAGUCCACGCCGUAAACGGUGGGCGCUAGGUGUGGGGAUCGUUUCCACGAUCUCCGUGCCGUAGCUAAACGCAUUAAGCGCCCCGCCUGGGGAGUACGGCCGC